rnacentral:misc_RNA from 1 species
UUAGUUUAUUUAACUAGUUUUCAGAUUUGACAUGGUUAAAAGAAUUUAAUUGUGGGCUAUUGGCGAGCGCUGGCCAAGGGUUAAACAACUCUCGGCGGUCCGGUUAAAGACGGGCCCGCCAAAGCAACAUGGUAUUUAUACAAAGGGUUGGAGAUCGGGCCUAAGAGACCCUAACUCGUUAAUGAUCCUUCCGCAGGUUCACCUACGGAAA